rnacentral:rRNA from 1 species
UCCAGACUCCUACGGGAGGCAGCAGUGAGGAAUAUUGGUCAAUGGCCGGAAGGCUGAACCAGCCAAGCCGCGUGAGGGAGGAAGGCGCAGAGCGUCGCAGACCUCUUUUGCCGGGGGACAAAAGGCCGGACUCGUCCGGUCCUGAGGGUACCCGGAGAAAAAGCAUCGGCUAACUCCGUGCCAGCAGCCGCGGUAAUACGGAGGAUGCGAGCGUUAUCCGGAUUCAUUGGGUUUAAAGGGUGCGUAGGUUGUUUUAUAAGUUAGCGGUGAAAUACCGAUGCUCAACAUCGGGGCUGCCGCUAAUACUGUAGGACUAGAGAUCGGAUGCAGCAGGCGGAAUGUGUAGUGUAGCGGUGAAAUGCAUAGAUAUUACACAGAACACCGAUUGCGAAGGCAGCUUGCUAGGCCGGAUCUGACACUGAUGCACGAAAGCGUGGGGAUCGAACAGGAUUAGAUACCCCGGUA